rnacentral:rRNA from 1 species
GCGAGUCGAACGGUAACAGCAAGAGCUUGCUCUUGGCUGACGAGUGGCGGACGGGUGAGUAAUGCAUAGGAAACUGCCUAACAGUGGGGGAUAACUACCGGAAACGGUCGCUAAUACCGCAUACGUCCUACGGGAGAAAGCAGGGGAUCUUCGGACCUUGCGCUGAUAGAUGUGCCUAUGUCUGAUUAGCUAGUUGGUGGGGUAAUGGCCUACCAAGGCGACGAUCAGUAGCUGGUCUGAGAGGAUGAUC